UACGUAGGGUGCAAGCGGUGUCCGGAAUUAUUGGGCGUAAAGAGCUCGUAGGCGGUUUGUCGCGUCUGCUGUGAAAGUUCGGGGCUCAACCCCGGAACUGCAGUGGGUACGGGCAGACUAGAGUGCGGUAGAGGAGACUGGAAUUCCUGGUGUAGCGGUGGAAUGCGCAGAUAUCAGGAGGAGCACCAGUGGCGAAGGCGGGUCUCUGGGCCGCAACUGACGCUGAGGAGCGAAAGCGUGGGGAGCGAACAGG
rnacentral:rRNA from 1 species